rnacentral:rRNA from 1 species
AUUGAACGCUGGCGGCAUGCCUUACACAUGCAAGUCGAACGGCAGCACGGGUGCUUGCACCUGCUGGCGAGUGGCGCACGGGUGAGUAAUACAUCGGAACAUGUCCCGUAUUGGGGGAUAGCCCCGCGAAAGCCGGAUUAAUACCGCAUACGAUCUACUGGUGCCAGCGGGGGACCUUCUGGCCUCGCGCUUUGGGGUUGGCCCAUGACUGAUUAGCUAGUUGGUGGGGUAAUGGCCUACCAAGGCGACGAUCAGUAGCCGGUCUGAGAGGGCGACCAGCCACACUGGAACUGAGACACGGCCCAGACUCCUACGGGAGGCAGCAGUGGGGAAUUUUGGGCAAUGGGCGAAAGCCUGAUGCAGCAAUGCCGCGUGUGUGAAGAAGGCCUUCGGGUUGUAAAGCACUUUUGUCCGGAAAGAAAUCCUUGGUCAUAAUACGGGCGGGGGAUGACGGUACCGGAAGAAUAAGCACCGGCUAACUACGUG